rnacentral:lncRNA from 1 species
AUGAGAGGAAUGCUCCUUGCUGAUGGAUAAGCUAUGUGACAUUGCUUAGAGCCACAUCUGCAUUCAGUAGGGAAUCAGGUGAUGGUAGAAUGGAGAUUCCUGAAGAAGCUCCUUUUGAAGGCAAAGGUGACCUCUUUUCAGCAGCGUGCUAGUUGACAUGGUGUGGACAGCUGCUGUGACUGCAAGCCUUCAUCAAAAUAAUGCCGAAGAGGAGACUGGGAUCUACCCUGCAGAGAAGGAAGAAGCAGAAGCCAUCUACUUACACUGCUCUGUUGACCUUCUGCUUUUUGGAAAGCAUCUCUCACAUGGGACACAGAGCUGCGAGGUGGUACCGGCUCCUUCCAGGACAGGCUGGAAGCUCAGAAGAUGACUGUCGCGUUCUUGCAAAGCCGCAGACACUGAGUACAAUAAGGGCACACUGCUGGGAUGAGAACAAGCUUAUGAUGCCGAGGGAUCUCCUGGGUUCAGCUGGAGCAGAAAUACCUUGUGGUUUCUCUACAUCUGGGGCAAAUUAUUAA